rnacentral:rRNA from 1 species
UGGGGAAUAUUGCACAAUGGGCGCAAGCCUGAUGCAGCCAUGCCGCGUGAGUGAAGAAGGCCUUAGGGUCGUAAAGCUCUUUCGCCUGUGAAGAUAAUGACGGUAGCAGGUAAAGAAACCCCGGCUAACUCCGUGCCAGCAGCCGCGGUAAUACGGAGGGGGUUAGCGUUGUUCGGAAUUACUGGGCGUAAAGCGCACGUAGGCGGACCAGAAAGUUGGGGGUGAAAUCCCGGGGGCUCAACCCCGGAACUGCCUCCAAAACUAUUGGUCUAGAGUUCGAGAGAGGUGAGUGGAAUUCCAAGUGUAGAGGUGAAAUUCGUAGAUAUUUGGAGGAACACCAGUGGCGAAGGCGGCUCACUGGCUCGAUACUGACGCUGAGGUGCGAAAGUGUGGGGAGCAAACAGGAUUAGAUACCCUGGUAGUCCACACCGUAAAACGAUGAAUGCCAGUCGUCGGGUAGCAUGCUAUUCGGUGACACACCUAACGGAUUAAGCAUUCCGCCUGGGGAGUACGGCC